rnacentral:rRNA from 1 species
UUUCAAACCAGUUGUUAUUUAUGAUAACGCUGAUGUGGACAAAAUACGGAUCUUAACAGAAAACCGUAAUAAAGUAGCUGUAUAUCGUUGAGUAAACAAGGUAAACGGUAAUAUUUACAUUGGUAGUUCUACUAAUUUACAUGUUAGAAUGUAUACAUAUUUUAGUUUACGUUCUCUUUUUUUUUGUUCAUUUUUUCUUUUACAGCUUUUUAGUAGUUGAUUUGGGUAAAAGAAAAAAUGAACAAAAAAAAAGGAGCCAAAAGUAAUAGACCUAUUGAUAGAGCUCUUUUAAAACACGGGUUUUCUAACUUUAGAUUAGAAAUCUUGGAGUAUUGUUCCUAUGAAGAUGUACUUAAAAGAGAGCAAUAUUACUUAGAUCUUUAUAAACCUCAUUAUAAUAUAGCUACUAUCGCAGGCUCUACUUUAGGAUAUAAACAUUCUCAAGAGUCACUAGAAAAAAUGAGAAACAUUAUUCUAAGUGAUGAAGUAAGAGAAAGAAAAGCUCUUUCUACUGUUAAUGCUUCAAUAGCUAAUAGAUUGCCUAUUAGUGUUAAAAAUAUAAUAACUAAUGAUGUAACAAGUUAUGCUAGCAUGACUGAGGCAGGUAAAGCAUUAGGUGUAACAAGAGCUACAGUAAGUCAAGCAUUGUUGCAUAAUAGACUAAUUAAAAAAACGUAUUCUAUCUGUAAAAUUAAAUAAAAACUUCAAAAAAAAAUAAAAUUAUAUUAUCUGUUAAAUGGAUAGUAAUAAAAUGCUAUUUAGGGAGAAAAGUCUCAGCUCGGCCUAAGUUGGAAUAAAUAAAAUUCCACGGCCAAAGAGAUAAUUUGUAUCGUUGUAAAGAUAUCCAAAGAACUGUGGUAAGUUAGUGAAAGACAAUCCUGACUACUAUAGCUGGUUUUCCGCGAAACAUAUGUAAGUAUGUAGUUUAAAUAACAUCAUAGCAGGUACAGAACUGUAAUCUCGGACAAUUUGUGCAUUUAUACCCUAUUUGGUAUAGAAUGCCUUGUGCAUAUGGGGGGGUCGUGAAGACUCUAUUCGCGAGUAUUUGCUCUCGGAAGGGCAAUGAUGAGUGUUGAACUAUCAGACAUUUAACGAUAAGGUUGUGUGUCAAAAGGGAAACAGCCCAGAACAAGUGUUUAAGGUUCCAAAGUUUUUGUUAAGUGAAAGUAAGGAAGUAUUUAAACUAUACAACCAGGAAAUAGGCUUAGAAGCGGCCAUUUUUUAAAGACCUCGUAACAGAGCACUGGUUCAAACGGUUAAUUAGUUAACCUUAUAAGUUAAAAGCGCCGAAGAUAUAACGGAUCUAAAACAAAACACCGACACCUUGUCCAUAAUAAUAAUAUUAGGUUAAAGCCUAUUUUAAUAUACUUAAAGGUUAUUUAAGUAUUAUUUAUGGGGUAGCGGAACAUUGGGUAAAUAGGAUUAAAAUAGAAGACGGGUAAAGUAUUGGUACCCCUCGUACCUACCUGUUUUAUUUAUAAAACGGUUAAGGAAAAGUCACGAUGGGGGAGUACAAUGGGACCUAAUACAUACCAAGCUCUUUAAAGAAUUACAUUGGUAAUUUGCUUGCUAAAUAGCGGGUUUCCAUAAAUAUCCCAAGUGAGAAUGCUGACACGAGUAACGAAAAAGAGGGAAAAAAAAAAAUUGGGCAAACCCAAUGGAACAGGGAUAGAUUGGAAUAUAGUAAGGACGUAAAUAAACUAAAAUAGAUGAUACGCCCCUCCUCUGUUGACAAGGAACUCUCGCCUUAAGCUUAUGGGAAAGUUAAUCGGUCUCUAAAUUUAACCUAAAGGAUAAAAUGAUGAGGAAAAGUAUAUGUGACAACAUAAAAUGGAGUAAAAUGUUCUGGAAAAGCAUAUACUAAGCAAGGAGGGAGAAAUUUGUCUAGGGAAUAAACUAAUUAGAAGAUACUAGGCUUUUUUUUCCAUAGGGAAUAAACUGAGACAGAUGAUACUAGCCCUUGCUAAUAUAAACCGUACCUAAAAACUACCACAAGUAAGCUAGUAGAGAAUACGAAGGCGUUUGAGCUAACAAUCAUUAAGGAACUCGGCAAAUUGACACCGUAACUGAGGGAGAAGGUGUGCCAUUCCUACUGAUUAAUAUCAGUUUAGGAAGAGGAGACAUAAAAUGGUGUUGCACGACUGUUUAAUUAAAACACAGCACUUUGCGUAAGAUGUAAAUCAAUGUAUAGAGUGCGCUAUCUGCCCAAUGAUGGCUGGUUAACGGAUUUACUUAGACGACUAAAAUAGCCUAGGUUUUGAAGGAACCCCCAUUUAAUGGCGGCCUUACCUAUAAGGGUCCUAAGGUAGCGAAAUACCUUGGCAUUUAAAUGAUGUCGCGCAUGAAUGAUCUCACGAUGCAACAGCUGUCUCAAUGAUUGGCUCAGUGAAACUGGAAUGGCAGUGAAGAUACUGCCUAUCUCUAGAUAGACGAGAAGACCCCAUGCAGCUUUACUGUUACUAGUUAUAGGGUAUAAUUUAACAGGUUUUAGGGAAUAAGGUAGUUGAACGACAAAAUUGAAACACCUUUACUCUGGUUGUUAUAUCAGUAGAAUAGGUUACAUUAUUGUAACGGACGUCUGAAUGUAAUCCAUAAAAGGAGGGAGAUUAUAUCAAGCUCAGGAGACAAUGGCUAGCAGAUGGUUUAUGCGGGGCACAGAUCCCAUAAAGAGUACCUGGGAGUAUCCAAAUUUAUUUUUGUAAUAUGCUAUACGCAAAUUAUAUGGGGCUUUUAUUAAAUAAUUGCCUUGUAUAUUUUAAUUUUUUAAUUACUAUAUUUAGUUUGUUAUUUUUUAUAUUUACUUUUAUAAAGUAUCUAUAACUAAUUCAGUUAUAUUUCUAUUUAAGUUAGAACUAAAACAAUUUUAUAUAAGUAAGAUUUUACCUAUGUGGAAAAUAGGUGUAUAUAUAGUGUUAAGAAUGAAUAUCUAAUUGUGAGGCCCAAGAAAAAUUGAGGUAGUAAAAGAAGAUAUAAUUAUAACACUAUUAGUUAUUUUUUUUUUACAGAAUACCUGUAUAAGAGAAAUGAUGUUGAUAUAUACUUCCUAAGUUUAAUGGCUUAAUCUUGCUUUACUGUUUGACAUACACGUCUAUCAGUUGCGUAAGCAGGGCAUAAAGACCGCAAGACGCAGUAAGGAAAGGUCUUGUAUUAUUGAAAAAGCUACGCUGGGGAUAACAGGCUAAUUGCGCCAGAGAGUACAAAUUGAGUGCGCAGUUUGG